UAGAGUUUCGUUUUACACUUAACGUGACUCUGCCUCACCAUUUGCUCCCACUGUGUGCAGACGGUGUUCCAGACCCAAGCUGGGAAAAUUCUUUCUGGAAGGUUACUGUGAUGUGUGUCAGGGGAAGUUGCAAGAAUUACACAGAUUCCUUUAGCUCCCCUGAUAGAGGAAAAGGAAGAGGGUGUCUGACUGUCACAGCACCCCAGAACAGAAGC